CGGCUCUGGCGGUAGUUCACGGAGAGCCGACAUCGCGAGCACUUACAGCGAACGUCUGAUGGUGCGGCCCGUGACCAAGCUGCCCAUACUUUCCCCUUUUUUCCAAAUAUUCUUGGGUAUUAAUAAAGUUUAAUUGAUUACGUGGUUUGCAUUGAAACUCCGCAGUGUGUUUGGGUAGGGGACCUGAUGCCCGCUUUCCCAGUGUGUGGUUUUAACUUGGAGAGAUAAAAAGUCGGGAGAAGUGAUUGAAGAAUUAGUAGAGUGGUUAGUGAAGAGGUGAGUCGGAGCGAAUGAGCUCGAAGUCGACCUCGUCCUUGUAAAUCUGGACAAGAACCCCCGGGCGUCCAUGCAGGCGCCCGCGACCCCAGCCUGAUCUGGCGGUCGACCUUCCUGCAACUCCGGCGGGUUUGCCGCUGAGGGACGUCAACCUCGUGAUUACAAUCGAACUUCAUCUCCGAUCAAAUUGAAUUGCAAUUGAACUAAGGUGCGUCUCGAGGUUGACUGGAAGGUGAAGGCUAAGCGCUAGAGGUGAGUGUCAGAGGAAGAUGGGGGUUCUGGUGCACGAGGAGGAAAGGCCGACGCGAUAAUAG